GCCCGCGGACGGCGAGACGCGAGUCCCACCUCUGCGGCACGGGAGCGCGCUCCUUCCGCACGGAGCACCCAGCCUGGUAAUUGCUCCUCUACUCCUGGAUGUGACAGAGUCUAGUCUUUUCCUCUCUCCAGAAGUUACAGACCUCAAAACCUUUUACCAACACUGCUUGACCUAGGUCUCACAGCCAGCCAUCCUGUAAAAAGAACUUAUGAAUUCUUGUUUGCCCUGCUGACUACCAAGUUACUCCUCUCCCCACAUCCUGAAACACCAGCUACAUGUCCUUUUGUGCCACGCUGAGACAUCAAUCACUUCAUCCACCUACAAA